UUUAAUUUGAAAAAGGAUCAUGCGCCCGUUUUUCGCCGUAAAUGUUGCAGCCUAAUUUUGGAUCGAGAAUUAAGUGCGACGAAGAUGGCCGUUAAUAAUAGUUCUACUACUUUAAGAACACGGUUCAGAUUUGGAUAACGACUUCGAAGGCAUUCGCAGGAGACCAAACAGAGAAAGAGAGGGAGACACAAAACCACCUGUCUCGGUGUCACACAUGAGGAGUUGAGGAGGAGAUGAAGUCAGUGAAUAUGACCUGGCCUGGGGGAGUUUCCAGAAGAAGGCCCAGAAUCGCUGGAUGCCAGGAGUGGAGAUCCUUCGUUGCUGCCCUACAUGAUAGGAGGCAUCGGGCAGUAGAUGCUGUAAUUUGAAACGGAAGGUGUCCUGCCAAUAAAUUUUCAUCCCACCUGAACUGCCUUGCCUGCCUGCACCCAGUCAUCUGUUCCUGAGCAUUUUCAUUUUCCUCUAUUUUUCAUCAUCGUUUGUUUCGGCCUGUAUGAAGUGAAUUUCACAUUGAUUGGUGGAGCUGCUAAGUUGGCAUUACAGGGCCACGCCGGGGUAUGAUCCUUUGGGUUGAACAUCAUGACUGCUAGUUGGUCGGCAAAGGUGAUGGGAUCGAUCAAUGUCACAUGGAGUAAGAUCGAUACCAAUCUGCUUUGCUACAUUUCGAACAAUCUCAUACGGAUACGGAUAUUAUUGCGACAGGAGUACUGCUCGAUGUGGUCAAGCCUAUUUGACAAAGCAUUAUGGUGUUAGUCAUGUUAUCAGAAACCGAUUUUUCAAAAUCACAGAGUUGCUUCAAUUUAGUAUCGAUAGAUAUUUCAAGAACGUGUAGACUAGUGAGCUUUUCAUCAAGAAUUUCACGCAAUUUAUUUUCGCGCUUAUCCAUGUCAUCAUUGAGUUUUUGUCUCUCGCGUUCCAUUGCCACGGCCACCGCUCUUUGAACGACUGUAUCAAUAUGAUCUAGGUAUGCUGGGCUUUGUUUAGAUCCAGUUAAUGAUGAAGCAGAGGAUUGUGUACAUGCGUUAGCCGAGUGCAAGCGGCCUCUUGAUCUGGUGCAUAUCUUAGACAUGUUAGAGAUUACGUAAUGAUAUAAUUGAAAAGUGGGAUGGGCUGUGCAUCUGCCAACUCACCAGUCAACCAAUUAGAGACGGCCUUCCAAAGUGACACAGCACGAAAAUAUCAAUAUGGGACUGGUCUAGUCAACACAUAGAUCCUGAAAAAACCAUGGAGACCGCAGACGCAAAAUGACUUCCAUACAUAAAGAUAUGAUGCACAAUUUCCAGUGGGUUCAAAACACUGAACACAUGCUAUGCUGAUACACAGACUAUCAUAUUAAAGAACUUUAUCAAGCAAAGGAAAUCUGGUAUGAAAUCUCUCAGCUCACAUAAAAAGCCUACGUAGCUACAUGUAGGGAAGAAAAUGCGUAAUUGCUGAGAAAUGAGCAAAAUAAGGAUGUAAUUCUAUCAAAUGUCAGGUAUUUUUCGAAUCGAUUAUAAUACACUGUCCCACAUAUGCUUUUCUGUGUUUACAGCGAUCAUCAGAAUUAUCGAUUUUAAGUUUAAAAAUUCAUGAUUUUACAAAGAUACAAGUUUACAUUAAUGUACCAGAUGUAGAUUAUGUACAAUAUAUUGACAAUGAACUUUGAUUUUAUAGAUUUUCUCAAGAAAUAAUUGUUUGCUGCAACUACUGUCUUUUCCUUCUAAGUGAUAGUGUAAUACAACAGUUCCACAAACUAUUUUCAUCAGACUUAUUGAUGCAUGAUUCUUUCACCCAAAUGCAAGCUUCCACAAAUCCUGAAAACUUUGCAACUCAGGUAUUUUUUUUUUUUUACAUACAGUAUAUUUUGUCCUACAUUGCAUAGUUGCCUUAAGUUAAUAGCGCACCUCUAGUAGUAACUAUCUUAAAAUGAGUUCGAACAGAAUCCAACAGAAUUACCAGCAAAGUGUAUGUAUAUAUAAAAGAUGUGUGCCAAAAAGCUCGGGAAGAAAAUGUGUAAUUGCUGAGAAAUGAGCAAAAUAAGCAUGUAAUUCUAUCAAAUGUUGGGUAUUUUUCAAAUCAAUCAUAAUACACUGUCCUGUCCCACAUAUGCUUUUCUGUGUUAGUGAUCAUCAGAAUUAUUGAUUUUAAGAUCAAAAUUCAUGAUUUUACAAAGAUACAAGUUUACAUUAAUUUACCAGGGCCCCGUCUUACAAAGAGUUAUGAUUGAUCCGAUCAAUCGCAACUAUGGACGGUCAGCAACGUUAACAUCUAUUAAGCAUGUUUGUUCAAAAUAUUUUCUAGCUAUGAUGUAUGUUCAUGCAUUCAUUGUUUUCUCAAAAAUUCGCUGCGCUUCUCUUUGCAUACAAAGCCAAAGGACAUUGUGCAAAUUUUUCGUAGAAAAAAUUAUGACACUGAUGGAUUUCCAUAGAGUUAUGAUUGAUCGGAUCAAUCGUAACUCUUUGUAAGACAGGGCCCAGAUCUAGAUUAUGUACAAUAUUUUGACAAUUAACCUUAAUUUAAAAGACUUUCCGAAGAAAUAAUUGUUUGCUGCAACUACUGUCUUUUACCCCUGGCCCUAAGUGAUAGUGUAAUACAACCCAAACAUUUCAUAAGAAUUAAUGUACAUGUAUGAUUCUUUCACCCAAAUGCGAGCUUCCAUAAAUCCUGAAACUAUUCCAACUCGGGUAUUUUUUUUUUACAUACAGUAUAUUUUUACCUACAUUACAUAGUUGUCUAAAGUUGAAGGUAUAUUUAAUUACAAUUUCAACGAAAAAGCUUUAUUCUUGGAGAUCAUUAUGCCUCUGUUAUGUAUUAAUGUGUAUUUAUACAUGUACAAUUGUAUGUAUUGGUAUAACAAACAUUGUAAUUUCAUUCCUUUGACCCUAAUACUGCAUUUUCAUAGAAAAGUGUUUUUUUUUUUCAAUCUAUUUAGAGUUUUCAACAUUUUGUAUUCCUUUUUUUUUUGCUGGUAAUAUGUUAUGCAACUUUUAUUUAUUAAUAGAAUAUUUGCCACGAUUUCGU